UACGUAGGAGGCGAGCGUUGUCCGGAAUCACUGGGCGUAAAGCGCGUGUAGGCGGAUGACUAAGUUUGCUGUGAAAGCGCCUGGCUUAACUGGGCGAGGUCGGCGAAAACUAGUCGUCUGGAGGCCGGUAGAGGGGGGUGGAAUUCCGGGUGUAGUGGUGAAAUGCGUAGAUACUGGGAGGAACACCAGUGGCGAAGGCGGCUACCUGGACCGGUUCUGACGCUGAGGCGCGAAAGCGUGGGUAGCAAACAGG
rnacentral:rRNA from 1 species